rnacentral:lncRNA from 12 species
AUUUAAUACCUACUCUGUCUAUUUUUCUUUCUCCACUUUGUGUCUUUGGCUUGUGUAGCUGAUAAUUAUUACAUUUCAGUUUCAGAUUUCACAGAAUAUGAUGUGAUGCAAAAAUCAGCAGUAUCCUUUGACCUGUAUGCCAAGCCAGGUAACAACAGGACUCUAACUCUGAUGAAUCCCAAAAAGUCUUUUUAUCAAUGGAGACUUCGAGUUCCUUCUAAUUAUGUGGUGAGACUGGUAAUUAUCAAUUAGCAUGGUGUCACUCCAGAGAGCUGUGCAUCUCACCACCUUUCAGCAUAUGAUUUCCUUCUCCCACUGCAGAACAAGAUCAUUACCAGGUAUGAUACACAGAACAACAAUGCUUUACUGAAACUGUACCAAAUUGAUAAAACGUGAGAUCUGAAAUACAACUUAAUUUAAAGUUUUGGGUAGGGUAAUAAAAAGAUCUUCUAAAGAAGUUGGAAGGGACUGAUAAGGGUUUUCAAGUCCAACUCCCUGCUCCUCAGAGGAGUACCUAAAACCAAACCAUCUGACUAAGAGCAUUGUCCAAAUGUUCCUUGAACUCUGACAGGGUUGGUGCCAUGACCCCUUUCCUGGGGAAUGGGUUACAAAUUUCUGUGGGGUUUAUUCUGCACUAU